UACGAAGGGGGCUAGCGUUGCUCGGAAUCACUGGGCGUAAAGGGUGCGUAGGUGGCUGGGAAAGUUUGAUGUGAAAGCUCGGAGCUUAACUCCGAAAUGGCAUUGAAUACUUCCUAGCUUGAGGGUCGGAGGGGAGACUGGAAUUCUCGGUGUAGCAGUGAAAUGCGUAGAUAUCGAGAGGAACACCAGUGGCGAAGGCGAGUCUCUGGACGACUCCUGACACUGAGGCACGAAAGCUAGGGGAGCAAACAGG
rnacentral:rRNA from 1 species